rnacentral:rRNA from 1 species
CGUAUGUCCCAAGCGUUAUCCGGAUUUAUUGGGCGUAAAGCGAGCGCAGGCGGUUAUUUAAGUCUGAUGUGAAAGCCUACGGCUCAACCGUAGAAUUGCAUCGGAAACUGGAUGACUUGAGUGCAGUAGAGGAGAGUGGAACUCCAUGUGUAGCGGUGAAAUGCGUAGAUAUAUGGAAGAACACCAGAGGCGAAGGCGGCUCUCUGGACUGUAACUGACGCUGAGGCUCGAAAGGUGUGGGUAGCAAACAGGAUU